GUAGUAUUCCCUCCGUCCCAAAAUUAUUGUCUUACAUUUGUUUAGAUACGGAUGUAUCUAACACUAAAAUGUAACUAGAUACAUCCGUAUUUAGACAAAUUUAAGACAAGAAUUUUGGGACGGAGGGAGUACAAA
rnacentral:pre_miRNA from 1 species